GGCGUACCGGGAAGUCGCUGAAGACAAAGCGAUGGUAGUUCUGGAGGCCUCGCUCCGGGGCCGACCCGAGGCCACAGUUCCUCCGCGGUAGACCGGACUUGGGUGACGGGCUCCGGGCUCCCGAGGGAUGGAAGGGUCUAAGACGUCCAACAACAGCACCAUGCAGGUGAGCUUCGUGUGCCAGCGCUGCAGCCAGCCCCUGAAACUGGACACGAGUUUCAAGAUCCUGGACCGUGUCACCAUCCAGGAACUCACAGCUCCAUUACUUACCACAGCCCAGGCGAAACCAGGAGAGACCCAGGAGGAAGAGACUAACUCAGGAGAGGAGCCAUUUAUUGAAACUCCUCGCCAGGAUGGUGUCUCUCGCAGAUUCAUCCCCCCAGCCAGGUGCCUACUACUUCUCAGCCCCCAUUCCUUGCCAAAGGCUAGUAGAAUUUUAAUUAAAUCCAGGAAUCGAGACCUGGAGCCAGGUGAUAGAGACGCAUCAUCACCUAGCCUUUUGGCCCUUUCAGAAAAGAUGUAUUCCCUUAUACCUGGCCCGUCACCUUCCAGUAUGGAUUUUUUCCUGUAGCUGUUCACAGAGUGGGAAAGGAUAGUAGCUUUAAUGAUGAAGUAUUGAAAAAAAUUGAGGGAGUGAUUGACCAAUCACCAAGAGAUGGGCUCUUGAGAAGUUUCAAACUAGCAAAUGUUGUUAGAUGUUCAGGUCCUUAGUUCUCAUUGCUGCAGGUAAAGAGCUUGCUGGCAAGGGGUAUAAUAUUUUCUAAAAUGGCCUUUCCUGGUUCUCCCUUCUUUUCCACUGUAGACAUAUCAAUUUUUUAUGCUCCCUCUCCCUCCUUAGUCCACCAAGGCCAACCUUCGUGCUGAGUGUCCCUGUGGAAGACCAGCAUGGCCUUCCUUUGGGAGAGAGGGUACCCUUGGGAGGUCAGUCGGGCUAGGAGUGGGUAUGUUCCUUGAGGCCCCUCAGCUGGUGCUUGAGAGUCUCUGCCACUGGCAUUGUAGUAGGUGGAGGAAGCCUCUCUGUUCCCUCAUGUGGCCCGUGGGCGGGGGGCUGUCUGCAGGAUGAUGUCCACAGAAAGUGCCAACAGCUUCACUCUGAUUGGGGAGGCAUCUGAUGGCGGCACCAUGGAGAACCUCAGCCGAAGACUGAAGGCAAGUCAGCCCCAUUCCGGUGGCAAGCAGUAGGCCUGGCUGGGAGAGUGGGUAAUUGAGCAGGAAGCAUGGGGGAGGCCCUACCCUGACUCUCCCACACUUCCAGGUCACUGGGGACCUUUUUGACAUCAUGUCGGGCCAGACAGAUGUGGAUCACCCACUCUGUGAGGAAUGCACAGAUACUCUUUUAGACCAGCUGGACACUCAGCUCAACGUCACUGAAAAUGAGUGUCAGAACUACAAACGCUGUUUGGAGAUCUUAGAGCAAAUGAAUGAGGAUGACAGUGAACAGUUACAGAUGGAGCUUAAGGAGCUGGCACUAGAGGAGGAGAGGCUGAUCCAGGAGCUGGAAGACGUGGAAAAGAACCGCAAGACAGUGGCAGAAAAUCUCGAGAAGGUCCAGGCUGAGGCUGAGAGACUGGAUCAGGAGGAAGCUCAGUAUCAGAGAGAAUACAGUGAAUUUAAACGACAGCAGCUGGAGCUGGAUGAUGAGCUGAAGAGUGUUGAAAACCAGAUGCGUUAUGCCCAGACGCAGCUGGAUAAGCUGAAGAAAACCAACGUCUUUAAUGCAACCUUCCACAUCUGGCACAGUGGACAGUUUGGCACAAUCAAUAACUUCAGGCUGGGUCGCCUGCCCAGUGUUCCCGUGGAAUGGAAUGAGAUUAAUGCUGCUUGGGGCCAGACUGUGUUGCUGCUCCAUGCUCUGGCCAAUAAGAUGGGUCUGAAAUUUCAGAGGUAGGAAGUGUAGCCCUUUCUUGGGGAGUGAUGUGCUUUGAUAUAAUUUGUAUCUCCAACCUGGUACUGCUAUCCACCAUGUCAGGAGCCCUUGCUGCCCACAGACUGGGAGUUUUCUGUGGCUGAAGAGCUGUCAGCAUCUGAUUUUCCCCUCAUCACAGGGCUCUCUCCACUGAUCACACAGUCACUGAGUUGCGUGACUAUAGCAUAGUUCCCAGCCUACAGUCCCCAGAGCCUUAGUGUUCCUCAGGAUAUUUUCAGUUUUUGUUUCUUAAAUUUAAACCAAAACAUAACAUUUGUUCGUGGAAGGCCCCCAGGCAAUUAUAUAAUAAAUGUAGUUUGUUCAUUAAACAAAAUCUUUUAAACAUGGAUUCAAUGGGGAGGUGGGAGAGGGAGUUGAGCAUAAUAAAAGAAGCCCUUGGCCAGAAUGAAGAGUGAAAUCAUUGGGUUGUAACUUCCCAAUAAUCACUUUGGGAGGAGUCCUGUAUCCAUCUCUGUUUGUAUCUCUAUUUUAGAUACCGACUUGUUCCUUACGGAAACCAUUCAUAUCUGGAGUCUCUGACAGACAAAUCUAAGGUACUCUGUGAAGCUCCAUUUUCACUGGAAUACAGAGUUCUUAUAUCUCUUAAGAAAAUGGAUGGUUUGCUUUGAUAUUGGCAUUCAAUUUAUUUUUUAGACCUAGAUAUGAAGAGCCAGUAUAUUGUUCAAUAUCUUGUCUAGUUCAGGUUUAGUUUUGGGGGUCUUGUAGACAGAAAUUAGGUUUUGACAGUCUGUUGAGAAGGGAUAUGGGCAGGUCAGAGGAGGGUGUGUGUACUAGGCUAGGAAAAGAAUCACCGUGAGAUAGAUGUUUACAGGUUGAGUAUCACCAGAAGUGUUUUAGAUUUUGGAUUUUUUUUCAGAUUUUGGGAUAUUGGCAUAUAGAUACUAAGAUAUCUUGGGAAUGGGACCCAAGUCUAAACACAAAAUUCAUUUAUCAAGCCUCUGUCUCAAAAAAAAAAAAAAAAAAAAAGAAAGAAAGCAAAGGUAUCAGGUAUGGAAUUUUCCCCUUGUGGCAUCAUAUCAAUGGUCAAAAAGUUUCAGGUUUUGUAGCAUUUUUUAUUAUUUUUAUUUAUUUAUUUAUUUUGAGACGGAGUCUCACUCUGUUACCCAGGCUGGAGUGCAGUGGCGUGAUCUCGGCUCAUUGCAGGCUCCGCCUCCCAGGUUCAUGCCGUUCUCCUGCCUCAGCCUCCUCUCCUCCCGAGUAGCUGGGAUUACAGGCGCCCACCACAAUGCCUGGCUAAUUUUUUGUAUUUUUGGUAGUGACGGGGUUUCACCAUGUUACCCAUGAUGGUCUUGAUCUCCUGACCUCAUGAUCCACCCGCCUCGGCCUCCCAAAGUGCUGGGAUUACAGGCGUGAGCCACUGUGCCUGGCAUAUUUUUAUUUAUUUUUCUUUUCUUUUUGUGGGUUUUUUUUUUUUUUUUUGAAAUGGAGUUUCGCUCUUGUUGCCCAGGCUGAAGUGCAAUGGCAUGAUCUCGGCUUACUGCAACCUCCGCCUCCCAGGUUCAAGCAAUUCCCCUGCCUCAGCCUCCUGAGUAUUUGGGAUUACAGGCAUGCACCACCACGCCCGGCUAAUUAGGUAUUUUUAGUAGAGACGGGGUUUCUCCAUGUUGGUCAGGCUAGUCUCAAACUCCCAACCUCAGGUGAUCUGCCCACCUUGGCCUCCCAAAGUGCUGGGAUUACAGGCGUGAGCCACUGCUCCUGGUCUAUUUAUUUAUUUUUCUUUUCCCAUGUACUCUUCCUGGAAAGGUUUUGUAGCAAUUUGGAUUUUUAGAUUAAGGAUGCUCAACCUAUGGUACAUUUUCAUUGAUAGUGAAACAGUUCUAAGUGCAUUGUUACUUGCCCAAGGUUAUUGUAGUUGUUCAAAUCUAUGGAAGAUAGAGUCCAGCUACAAUACAAGUUUCCAGUGGGAUACAGACAGAACAUGACUUGAGAGAUUGAUAGGAUUGGGAACAAUCUCUGGAAGCCUUUCUUGGUGCCAGAUCCAUAGCCAGUUUUCUCUUCUUGGGCAGGAGCUGCCGUUAUACUGUUCUGGGGGGUUGCGGUUUUUCUGGGACAACAAGUUUGACCAUGCAAUGGUGGCUUUCCUGGACUGUGUGCAGCAGUUCAAAGAAGAGGUUGAGAAAGGCGAGACACGUUUUUGUCUUCCCUACAGGAUGGAUGUGGAGAAAGGCAAGAUUGAAGACACAGGAGGCAGCGGCGGCUCCUAUUCCAUCAAAACCCAGUUUAACUCUGAGGAGCAGUGGACAAAAGCUCUCAAGUUCAUGCUGACGAAUCUUAAGUGGGGUCUUGCUUGGGUGUCCUCACAAUUUUAUAACAAAUGACUUUUUUCCUUAGGGGGAGGUUUGCCUUAAAGGCUUUUAAUUUUGUUUUGUUUGCAAACAUGUUUUAAAUUAAAUUCGGGUAAUAUUAAACAGUACAUGUUUACAAUACCAAAAAAGAAAAAAUCCACAAAAGCCACUUUAUUUUAAAAUAUCAUGUGACAGAUACUUUCCAGAGCUACAACAUGCCAUCUAUAGUUGCCAGCCCUGGUCACAGUUUUGAUUCUUAACCCCAUGGACUCCUUUCCCUUUCUUCUCUGAAAAAAACUAAUUUAAAUUUGCUUUUCUUUUUUUUAACUGAGUUGAAUUGAGAUUGAUGUGUUUUCACUGGAUUUUUAUCUCUCUCAACUUCCUGCACUUAACAAUAUGAAAUAGAAACUUUUGUCUUUACUGAGAUGAGGAUAUGUUUGAGAUGCACAGUUGGAUAAUGUGGGAAAAUGACAUCUAAGCUUUACCUGGUCACCAUGUGAUGUGAUCAGAUGCUUGAAAUUUAACACUUUUCACUUGGUUCUUAUACUGAAUGCCGACUCUGCUCUGUGUUAGAGAUAUGAAAUGGUGUUUGAUACUGUUGGAGACAUUAUGGAGAGAUUUAAUUAUUUGUAAUAAAAGAUUUGCUGCAGUCUGAAAACUG
rnacentral:sRNA from 1 species